UACGUAGGGUGCAAGCGUUAAUCGGAAUUACUGGGCGUAAAGCGUGCGCAGGCGGUUUGGUAAGUCUGUCGUGAAAUCCCCGGGCUCAACCUGGGAAUUGCGAUGGAGACUGCAAGGCUAGAAUCUGGCAGAGGGGGGUAGAAUUCCACGUGUAGCAGUGAAAUGCGUAGAGAUGUGGAGGAACACCAAUGGCGAAGGCAGCCUUCUGGGCCAACACUGACGCUCAUGCACGAAAGCGUGGGGAGCAAACAGG
rnacentral:rRNA from 1 species